GGUGGCGACCGGCGCACGGGUGCGUAACGCGUAUGUAACCUACCUAUAACAGGGGCAUAACACUGAGAAAUUGGUACUAAUUCCCCAUAAUAUUCGGAGAGGCAUCUCUCCGGGUUGAAAACUCCGGUGGUUAUAGAUGGACAUGCGUUGUAUUAGCUAGUUGGUGAGGUAACGGCUCACCAAGGCAACGAUACAUAGGGGGACUGAGAGGUUAACCCCCCACACUGGUACUGAGACACGGACCAGACUCCUACGGGAGGCAGCAUG
rnacentral:rRNA from 1 species